UACGGGGGGGGCAAGCGUUGUUCGGAAUUACUGGGCGUAAAGAGUGUGUAGGCGGUGUUCUAAGUCUGUUGUGAAAUCUCCCGGCUUAACUGGGAGGGUGCGGCGGAGACUGGAAUGCUAGAGUGUGGGAGAGGUAAGCGGAAUUCCUGGUGUAGCGGUGAAAUGCGUAGAUAUCAGGAGGAACACCUGUGGUGUAGACAGCUUACUGGACCACGACUGACGCUGAGACACGAAAGCGUGGGUAGCAAACAGG
rnacentral:rRNA from 1 species